UACGAAGGGGGCUAGCGUUGCUCGGAAUUACUGGGCGUAAAGGGCGCGUAGGCGGACAGUUUAGUCAGAGGUGAAAGCCCAGGGCUCAACCUUGGAAUUGCCUUUGAUACUGGCUGUCUUGAGUUCGGGAGAGGUGAGUGGAAUGCCGAGUGUAGAGGUGAAAUUCGUAGAUAUUCGGCGGAACACCGGUGGCGAAGGCGACUCACUGGCCCGAUACUGACGCUGAGGCGCGAAAGCGUGGGGAGCAAACAGG
rnacentral:rRNA from 1 species